UUUAAAAUAAAAGUUAGACUGUUUCAUUCAUUAAAAAAGCUUCCGCAAUGGCGACAAGCAAACGACAUACUUUUUUACAGGUUUAAACAUUACUUAAUUACAGAUAUGCCUAAAAGAAAUUUCGACAUUUAAAUUGACAAUAUUACUUGCUUGACUUAGCAUUUGUUGACCUCAAUUUGGCAAGAUCUAUGAGAGCGCAACAAAAGGAUCACUUUCGUUUCAGGCAAAAUUACCCUUCGGACAUAUAUUACCAAGGCGGAUAAACAAGCUUUAAGGCUUUUACAAUUUCAGAUAAAACCGGUCUGAAUAAUUUACUAAAGCGAAUAAUGAGGCAAUGGGUAGGUGAGAGAAACCACAAGUAAGCAGCAAAAAUACAUCACGGUUCUAAAAAUUUCGCAACGAAAUUAUUUCAUGCAGAUUUUAUUAAAAUUUAAAAGACCAAUUUGGUGACUUCUGAUAUACCAAGCUACAAACAAGUGUGGUUGAAGAAACCUUCAUUAAUCCUCAGGAUACAUAGGUCGAUUAGAUGAGUUAAAGUAUGAUAAUAAAGGUUUUAUUGCAGUAGGUUCAAGUAAAAAAAUCCCUGAUGGAUGAAAUUUGGUCCACUUAAAGAUUCAAUAAACAGUUUGGCUCAAGCAUCCAGGUUCGAUUAACGGCAUAUCCGAGUCAGCUAGAGGACUAUCGUAAGCAACUUAACAGUCUCUUACAGGUUUCAUUUACAAAAUACCAAUUGACUACUAAGAUCAAGAGACAGAUAGAAGUGUGGCUCAAGAUUCAGCAUAUCGUCGGUCGGUCGGUAAGAUGAGUUAUCUUUUAGUAACGAGAAAAAAAACUGGAUGAUGAAAUUUGGUCAACCAAAUGAUCGUGAGUCAAUAAGAAUCCAGGGUGCAGUAACAGCAAAUCCGAGUUAGCUAGAGGAUUACAUGUCGGCAACGUAACUUUCCCUUACAGGAUUCAUUUUUAAGAGACCAAUUUGUGACUACAGAGAUAUCAGGAGAAAAAUAGAAGUGUGGCUCAGGAAUCUUAUAUCAGUCAUCAGCAUGUCGGUGAGAUGAGUUUAAGUAUGUCACUAAAGGUUCUUUUGCAGUAAAAGGAAAAAAACUACCCGGAUGACGAAAUUUGGUCAACUGAUCGUGAUAAAAUAAGAAUUCAAGGUGCAGUAACAGCAAAUCCAAGUAAGCUAGAGGAUUACAUGUAAGCAACAACUAUCUCUUUCAGGAUUCAUUUAUAAGAGACCAAUUUGUGACUAAAGAGAUAUCAAGAGGCAAAAAGACAAAAAUAAGUGUGGCUCAGAAAUCCUAUACAGUCAUCAGCAUGUCUGUGAGAUUAGGUCAAGUAUGAUGCUAAAAAUUCUCUUGCAGUAUCACACACAGGAACUACUUGGAAAAAUACAUUUUGGCAUUGAGAAAACAAGAUAUCAGAAGGGGGAGUGUGGCGGCAUCCAGGUUCGAGAAAGGGAACAUCCGAGUUGGCUUGAGGUGUCAAGUUCUAUUUUUAAAAUACCAGUUUGGUGACAACUGCGAUAUCAAGAAAUAAGUGAAAUUGUGGCUCAAGAAUCUUACAUCAGUCACCAGCACACCAAUGUCGUGUGAUGACUACAACUAAGUUAAUAAAGGUUCUCUUUCAGUGUAAGGAACGAAAACUCCCUGGAGGCCGAAAUAAAGACUCAAAGUAAUCGAGAUGAAGUAAGACGAGUGUGGUUUUGCAAACCAGGAACAGAACGAUAUCUUAUCGAUUAUCUUUAAAGCCAAGUGAUUAAAAAGGACUAAUAAAUUCUCCGACAGGAGAAGUUGAUCAUUUUUUUCAGGUUUUAAGGCAAGUUGAUCUCCAAAAGAAUAUUUUAAGACUACAUACUUAGAAAUAAAAUCGUGGUUCAAGUAUCCCAAAUACAUGUGGAUGGAUGUAAGAUACAAGAGAUUUUUUACAGAAGAUAAAAAACAAAAUGUUACAAGUUAUGCAAAUGUAUAUCUCGAGACAAGAUGUACAGUAACAUAUAGCAACGAUAAACAAUACCAAAAUAACAGGAUCUAUUUCAGGUUUAACUCCAAACGGUAACAACGUGAGACGCAUAAGGAAAAUCUUUUAAAUAUCUUAACACAAAAAGUUUGGGGCCCAAGAGUGUAAUAUAAAGUGUGUCAUAAACAAAUCAGGUUAUCAAAUAUGCCGGUAAAACAAGGAAGAAAUGGAAAGUGAAAUACGUAGUAGAAUGAUGAGAUUAAAAUGUGGCUCAAUUUAAACAACACUCUUCUGUGUUGGUGAAUUACUUGAAUCAACAACAUUAAUACAGGUUUCAGGAUUAAAUAAGAACCUUAACACUCCAGACAAGCAACACUGUAAUAUUCUUAUGGUUGGAGUAUUUUAAACCAAAUAGUCAAUACGUAGUGCAAAAUUAAUCGGUAAGAUAAAUAUCUAUUGCAGAAUUUCAGUCACAAAACAGUUAUCAUUAAGAAUGAAAUCUUAGAUCUCUUAGUUCCGAAACACACUAAGCUUAUUUUGCGCAAGAUACAUGAUAAAAACACGCUUAAGCGUAGCUGUAGCCUGUUGGAAUACGCAGUCUGUUACGUCGAGUAAAACCGCCAGCCAGUGUGAAUUUUGUGCUGCCUUUUGCCUGAUUCUAUUGAAUAUGAACCCUCCAGAAAUCACAACUUUAGUUUAAGUACCACAGAACGAUGGAAAAAAUAAAGGCAUCUCUGAACAGCUCUGCAUCGUGAUGAAUACUUUGCGCGGUUGGGCUGAACAGCAUUGUUUAACGUGACGCAUUAGUCUUGUAGGAUACGAUAAGUGUGUUUCGGUAGUAAAAUGGACUAAGUUUUUUAAAAUAAAAGAAUAAAGCAUACUUUCCAAAGUGGUAAGAUAAUGAUGUGCGCUAAAUCUGUCUAUAUUUGUGGCGCAGCGCAAGCAUACUUGCAGCUAGCUAGUAUCUGCAUAUUUUUAUCAUUGAUUUGAUGUUUUAAUAUGCAUUAAGAUAUUUCUUACAUGUCUGGCUGUUAUAGAUUGUUCGUUUAAGGUAUUGUGUUCCAUCAACUCUUUAUUUUUCAGACUUUUGAAAAGUAUUACGUGUAAGAAAUAUUCCUUUUUUAAAUAACUGCAUUAAUGAAUAACAAAAAUUUUACUAUUAGAUUUUCUUUUAACAGUUUUUUUUUUGCCGAAUGUUAAUUUUCAUUGUAUUACGUAAAGUAGGGUUAGGCUUAUAAAAUGUAACCAACAGAUCUAUCCGAAAUGCAGAUAUGAUGCUGGCUGUUAAAGAUUGUUCGUGUAAGGUAUUGUGUUCCAUUAACCCUUUAUUUUUCAGACUUUUGAAAAGUAUUACGUGUAAGAAUUUUUUUUUUUUUAAAUAAGUGCAUUAAUGAAUAACAAAAAUUUUACUAUCAGAUUUUCUUUUAACAGUGUUUUUUUCAGAUUCAGGAUAAUGUAAGUUUUCGUGUGCAUCAUAUUUUUUAAAUUUAUUACAAACUUUAUAUGCAAGAAUAAUUAUUGUUUUUUUCAAAAAGGUUAAAUAUUAUUCAAAUAUAACUAUGUAAAUUUUCAUUCUAAUACGUAAAGUAGGGUUAGGCUUAUACAAUUUAACCGACAGAUCUAUCCGAAAUGCAGACAUGAUGCAGGCUUCAUCUUCCCGGUGGAGAUGAAGACUAAUGACCGAGAAUGGAGUGCAGUUGAAAACCGAGAGAGGAUAUAAACACUGAUGACUUUAAGUUGGGUUAAAGAAUUACGGCAGAGAUGAAGACCGAGGGCAGAGAUGAAGAAUAAAGGCUGACGGUGGAAAUGAAGACUGAGAUGAAGACUGAAGGCGAAGUUAUAAAUUAUUGCUUGGGUUGACACCACAUCCAAAUAUAAAUAUUAAAAGCUAAGUAAGGAAAUGACUAAUGGAGAAGAUCAAGACCGAAGACUAAGGAAGAAGAUGAAGACGGAAGACGUAAACUGAGGACGAAGAUUCAGGGGACAAGAUUGCAGGUCGAGGAUGAAGACCGAUGACAGAAGACAGAGGUGAAGACUGAACAUAGAUUGAUAAGGGAAGACCGAAGACAGAAAACGAACAUGAACACAAGACCAAGAGAGAAGAAGAAGGCCGAAGACAGAAGGCAGAAGGAGAACACCGAAGACCGGGGGGAGAUGAAGAUCAAAUUAUUAGAGCCGAGAUGAAGAAAGAUGAUGAAGACCUAUUAAUAACUAAUGCUAAAGGUGAAGAAUGUAGUUAAAUGUCAAUAUUAUAUUUAUUUAAUAAGCUGUAAGCUUUAAGUAGGGAAGAUGAACAAUAAGAGAUGAAGACAAAACGAAGAUCAAGGUCUAUUUUCGCUUGGUCUUCAACAAAGGUAGUAGAUGAAGACCGAAGACCAUUGGAGAAGAUGAUGACCGAAGACCAUGGGAGAAGAUGAAGACUGAAGACCAUGGGAGAAGAUAAAGACUGAAGACCGACGACUGGGCGAAGAUGAACACCGAAGACCGGGAGAAGAUGAAGAUCAAAUUCUGAGUCCGAGAUGAAGAAAGAAGAUAAAGACCGAAGAACAUGGGAGAAAAUGAAGAACAAAGACAUGGCCAUGAUGGAGACCGAAGAUAGAAACUAAUAUGAAGAC